UCCAAUUUCAUACAAUCCCAAAUGUAAUUCCACCAGAAAGGAUUGAAGCGAAUUAGAUUUGUUGAGAUUCGUGGAAGCUGUGUUUACUAAGAUGGAAGCUCCAGUUGAGAGUUACUUGAUGGGCUACCAAAGCUCAAUGUGAUUAUAGUUGAUACAUUAUUGCCGUGGGCCGUCCGUAUUGGGGAUCGGAGGAAUAUUCCGGUGGAUUCAUUUUGGACCAUGUCUAUUACCGCUUUCUCCAUUUUUUAUCACCAUAAAUUGCUACUCGCUGAUGCACAUUUUCAAGCCAAUUUUACAGGAGUGAAUAAGGCAGGUGGAGACAAAGUUACCUACCAUAUGAUCCUCCUUAUCUUACAGAGGUUACUAUAAGACAUACACAGCGGGGCGUUAUAGGCCGUUGGGCGGCCGAAAAGUUGCCAUGAAUAACUAAAAAGGGGGAUUGAAGGCAGUUCUCGUGCAUCGGACCCGUAGCUAUAAUGAAAUAGUAUUUUCAUUAACAACAUUUAACCAACCCGACAACCUGAUGCUUCGACCCGCAUUGAAUGUUAGGCCACUAUUUGAAGAUAAAAGUACAUCGAACCCAUAUGGAGUUUUACCAUGAGCGAAUUGUAUCCAUUUAGCAAAUAUAGGUUCAAUCAAAAUUUGUUUCUUCGGAGUGUCAAAGGCAAGCAUACAUCAUUAUGAACAUAAAGUCCCAGGGUAUGAAAUUCCAGAAAGAGGUUGGCCCAACUUAAAUGAGAUAUGAUGGCUUCUUUACGAUCUAACAUUCUUGCCAAUACAUUAUCUUCAAUGACUACAGACUAGAAAGGACAAUGGACGUGAGCAAAACAACGGGCAAACAAAGGUUGCCGAGAAGGAUUGCAUUGCACCCCAUAGGGCUCCACGACAGGUCAUGCGCUGCACUCCUUGGGAUUCACCGCUAGGUCGUGCGGCACAGGGUGGUUUUCGUUUCACCCUACUCUUUUAAAUCAAGGCAUGUUCAAGGACUUGGGGGUAAUUUCACCAUAUAUUUAUAAAUACCCCAAGCACAUUUUUUAGAAGACUUAUACAUUAUUUUAGAACAAUUAAGAGGGCUAAGGGUUUUCCAUUAGGAUUCAUCUUCUAUAAACUCUUCUACACUUAAUUCUUUGGUAUGAACAAUAUUACUUUUGUAAGUUUGUUUCAAAGUAUGAGUAGUUAAAGGUCCUUGUUUUGGGAUUGA